AUUGAACGCUGGCGGCAUGCCCUACACAUGCAAGUCGAACGGUAACAGGUCUUCGGAUGCUGACGAGUGGCGAACGGGUGAGUAAUACAUCGGAACGUGCCCGAUCGUGGGGGAUAACGAGGCGAAAGCUUUGCUAAUACCGCAUACGAUCUACGGAUGAAAGCGGGGGAUCUUCGGACCUCGCGCGGACGGAGCGGCCGAUGGCAGAUUAGGUAGUUGGUGGGAUAAAAGCUUACCAAGCCGACGAUCUGUAGCUGGUCUGAGAGGAUGAUCAGCCACACUGGGACUGAGACACGGCCCAGACUCCUACGGGAGGCAGCAGUGGGGAAUUUUGGACAAAGGGCGAAAGCCUGAUCCAGCCAUGCCGCGUGCAGGAUGAAGGCCUUUGGGUUGUAAACUGCUUUUGUACGGAACGAAAAGCCUCUUUCUAAUAAAGAGGGGUCAUGACGGUACCGUAAGAAUAAGCACCGGCUAACUACGUG
rnacentral:rRNA from 1 species